GCAAAUCAAUAUAAAUUGAUUAAUAGUUAUUUAUUAAUUUAUUUUUUUUUAUUUAUAAUUUAUUAAAAAUAAUUAUAUAAUUUAAUGUUUUAGUAAUUUUUAAUGAAAAAAUAAUUAUAAUAAUAGUUGAUUAUGUAUUGUGAGAGGUAAUUGAAAUAUAUUGAAAAAUUUUUAUUUGAAAAGAAAAUUUUAUUUAUUGUACCUUUUGUAUCAGGGUUUAUCAAAUAAUUAAUAAUUAUUUAUUAAUCUCGAUUUUAUAAGAGUUAAUAGUUUAUGAAAGUUAAUGUGUCAAAAUUAUUUUUAAUAAAUUAUUAGAAAUGAAAUGUUAUUCGUUUAUAAAGGUAUCUAGUUUUUUUAGAAAUAAAUUUAAUUUACAAAUUUUUAAUUUUUUUUUUUAUUAUUUAAUUAAAAAAAUUAUUAAUUUGAAUGUUUUAAGGGAUAAGCUUUGAAACAAAAUGUUAAAAGUUAAUAAUUUAUUUAUAUAAAAUAUAUGUUUAGAAUUAGCAAUUAUUUAUAAAUUUGUUAUAAAUUAUUUUAUGAUUUUUAUUAUUUAUUAAUACUUUAAUUUUUUAUAAAAAUGUUUUUAUGAAUAAUAUAUAAGAGGCAAUAAUGAUGAAAUUAGUAUAUUUAUUGUAUAAAUAUUUUUAUAUGUUAAGUUUAUAUAAAGAACUCGGCAAAUAUUUGUACUCGCCUGUUUAACAAAAACAUGUCUUUUUGAGUUAUUUUUAAAGUCUAACCUGCCCAGUGAAUUAUUUAACGGCCGCAGUAUUUUAACUGUGCAAAGGUAGCAUAAUCAUUAGUCUUUUAAUUGAAGGCUGGAAUGAACGGUUGGACGAGGUAUAAACUGUUUCAUAUAAAUUUGUGAUAGAAUUUUAUAUUUUAGUUAAAAAGCUAAAAUUUCAUUAAAAGACGAGAAGACCCUAUAAAUCUUUAUAUCUAUUAUUAUUGUAAUUUUUUGGAUAUAUUUUAUUUUUAUAAUAAUAGAUAUUUUAUUGGGGUGAUAUUAAAAUUUAAUAAACUUUUAAUUUUAAAAAUUCAUUAAUUUAUGAUUAAUUGAUCCGUUAAUAGCGAUUAUAAGAUUAAGUUACUUUAGGGAUAACAGCGUAAUUUUUUUGGAGAGUUCUUAUUGAUAAAAAAGUUUGCGACCUCGAUGUUGGAUUAAGAUAUAUUUUUAGGUGUAGUUGCUUAUAAUUUAAGUCUGUUCGACUUU
rnacentral:rRNA from 1 species